rnacentral:rRNA from 1 species
GGCGGCGUGCUUAACACAUGCAAGUCGAACGAACCUUCGGGUUAGUGGCGGACGGGUGAGUAACGCGUGAGAAUCUGCCCUCAGGAGGGGGACAACAGCUGGAAACGGCUGCUAAUACCCCAUAUGCCGCGAGGUGAAAUGAAUUUCGCCUGAGGAUGAGCUCGCGUCUGAUUAGCUAGUUGGUGUAGGUAAUGGCUCACCAAGGCAUCGAUCAGUAGCUGGUCUGAGAGGAUGAUCAGCCACACUGGGACUGAGACACGGCCCAGACUCCUACGGGAGGCAGCAGUGGGGAAUUUUCCGCAAUGGGCGAAAGCCUGACGGAGCAACGCCGCGUGAGGGAUGAAGGCCUCUGGGCUGUAAACCUCUUUUAUCAAGGAAGAAGAUCUGACGGUACUUGAUGAAUAA